GACGAAGGGGGCUAGCGUUGUUCGGAAUUACUGGGCGUAAAGCGCGUGUAGGCGGUUAUCCAAGUCAAGGUGUGAAAGCCUUGAGCUCAACUCAAGAAAUGCACUUGGUACUGGGUGACUAGAGGACCGGAGAGGAUAGUGGAAUUCCCAGUGUAGUGGUGAAAUACGUAGAGAUUGGGAAGAACACCAGUGGCGAAGGCGGCUAUCUGGGACGGUUUCUGACGCUAA
rnacentral:rRNA from 1 species